rnacentral:lncRNA from 1 species
AUAAGCAACAGAAGUUUAUGUAAUUAUGUAACUACUUAGGAAACUGCUCUCCCAACCCCAAAUAAUGCCUGAACCUACAGGGCGAAUAAAAAUGACUUUGGAUAUUUUAAAAUAAUAGAUUUGAAGAUCAUUUGUAGUUUUUCCCUCAGAACAGGAGUGCUUUCAGCUGGACAGUAAAUUAAAAACCACAUCCAACAGAAGAUCAAUCUGGCUGCAUCUGAGACCACUCCUGGGAAAGUUAAUAUGCAGAAGCUGGGCACUCUUCCUCACAAUCAUUUAUGUGGAAUAAAAACUAGUAAAUAACUAACAGAAGAGCAUCAGAGAGAUUAAGAAAUCUUGCAUCAAAUUAACAAGUACUGUCUAUGUAGAUACUUUGUCCAAACACACUGGCCCAUGCAUCCUUGACAAGAAGAAAGCAAGCUUGGCUAAGGAGUCCAUAAAGGAGGUAGCCAUAUGCAGUAAGUCUCAGAAAGGACAACUGGAAAA